UCCGGCCCGCGGGAACCCAGCCCGCUCAGCCUCGGCCUCUUGUUCCUCCCAGGAUAGCGAGGCUGCGGCAGGAGGCCCGGGAGCAGGAGCAACUGCAGGCCGAGGAGAAGGCCCGUAAGGCCCGAGAGAGAGAGGCCUGGGUGCAGCUCAAGGAGCAGGAAGUGCUGCAGCUGCAGGAGGAUGCAAAAACCUUCAUCACCCGAGAGAACCUGGAUGCUCGGAUAGAAGCAGCGUUGGACUCCCCAAAGAGCUACAACUGGGCCAUCACCAAAGAGGGACAGGUGGUCAGGCCACAGCACAAGGGCAACUAAGGGCCCAGUAAGGACAGUGCCUGCCCAGGGACUGUGUGUGUGUGUAUACGGGUGUGGCCUGGGAUAAAACGGAGGUGUUUCUUCUGAAGAAGGAAGCUCAACCUCUUCCAUUGUGGCCCUCUUGUUUUGGCCUCUGCAUCUACCAGUUGACCAGUGCCCUUUUCUGCCCCAUGUACAACUGCCAGCACAGCACCAGACCCUACGGUUUCCAUCUUACAGAGGGGCAGACUGGACCAUAGGCGUGAGGUCAUCUCCUGAGUAUCAUCGAGGGUGGUCAGGGGUUGGCAAAUCUGGUCUACUACCUGUUUUUGUAAAUAAAGGUUUGUUUGAAUACA